GUGAGUCAUCGAAUCUUUGAACGCACAUUGCGCCCAUCAGUAUUCUGUUGGGCAUGCCUGUUCGAGCGUCAUUUCAACCCUCAAGCCUUGUUUGCUUGGUGUUGGGGCUUCUGCAGCGUGCUGCAGGCUCCGAAAUCCAGUGGCGGGCUCGUCGGGACCCGAGCGUAGUAGAUUUCUUCUCGCUUAGGGCUCUCUGGCGGGUGACCAGCCGUUAAAACCCCCCUAAUACAAAAGGUUGACCUCGGAUCAGGUAGGAAUACCCGCUGAACUUAAGCAUAUCAAUAAGCGGAGGA
rnacentral:misc_RNA from 1 species